AAAGUUGUUCUAGUUUUGUAACUAAAAUGGUUUGGCAGUGAGCGAUUCUUAUUAGGGGAAUAUGCAUAGUGAAGGAUGGUCCACCUAUUAGUUUACUCUUUUUAUGUUGGUGUAUGUCUGGUUUGAUAUUAUUGUUGAAUAAUUUAAGUUUGUGUAGUUUUAGUUAAGCUAAGUCUAUGUGCUGCUUAUUGGAGUUUUUGUGUGUUACAUUAAUAAGGGUGUUAUUGUAAGAUGAUGUGAUUUAGGACUUAA
rnacentral:rRNA from 1 species